rnacentral:rRNA from 1 species
UACAGAGGUGGCAAGCGUUGUUCGGAAUUACUGGGCGUAAAGGGCGCGUAGGCGGCCUUGUAAGUCCUGUGUGAAAUCCCCCGGCUCAACUGGGGAACUGCACAGGAGACUGCUUGGCUUGAGUUCGGGAGAGGGAAGCGGAAUUCCGGGUGUAGCGGUGAAAUGCGUAGAGAUCGGCAGGAACACCCAGGGGGAAACCAGUCGACUGGGCAUCUACUGACGCUGAUGUGCGAGAGCGUGGGGAGCGAACCGG